AGACCAGAAUUGUUCAUCAGAUUUACUUCAGUCACUCCUGAACCAGGUAUAGUUGCAUCACCAAGCAAGAAUUCUAUCACCUGCCAAGUUAUUUCUGCGUUAGUCCAUUCAUUCAUCUGUAUAAAAUGAUAAUGAAAAAAAAAAAACUUAUAUUACUAUUUUUCCAUUUUCAGCAUCUUUAUUAUGGUCAUGCUUAUCACCUUCAUCCCUUAAACAACUCUUAUUACUAUUCUUCCUUUUACUACUAAACUAUCAACUAAGGCUUGGACAUAUGUUCAACCCCACGUGCCACAGGGAUUACUUCUAGCAACACCUGAACCAACAGUUCCUUUAAUAGAUGGAUUGACCAAAAACCUCAUAACUAAACAAUAAAACGCUCGUGAAAAACCACAAUGCUGCUUAUUAACAACUUUAUAUUGCAGAAUAAUUUUAGUUUUGUUCAUUUAUUGAUGUGAAAAGAUAUUGAAACUAGGGUAGGGGCUCAAGUUCAAAUAUAACAAUAAGAGCCUCAUCCAUAAGCUAAGUUUCUACACUACUCCUUUGGUGUUUGCUCAAAUUCUAGAUUCUUUUCUUUGCUGGGUGUUGUUGUGAGUAGCGUUCAUAUUGAUGGGUCCAUGGAGCAAGGCCAGAAACCUACACGCCCAUGUUAAUUGAGUUCGAAACAACUGUAUUUUCAGCUUAAUUCUCUGAUAAGUUGAAAAGAGUGUCACUGAGUUUAGGAAGCCUGGUUUCUUGGUCCUUCUCAGAUUUGGCUGCUGAAAAUCCAUUAGUUGAUAAGCCAACUUGCUAAGGUCAAAGACUUCUCUUUUAUUUUUAUUUUCUUAAACUAAAGGGACUAUCAUCAAUCCUGGAUUAUGCCUUCAUUAAUUAAUCAAAAGCCCUUUCUAUAUGGAAUUACACUCUGUUUGCUGCAGUUUUAACUUCUAGCGCAACUCUUUUGCAAAGGCAUCUCACCCUCAGCUAUUGAAAGGAGCUUUUAGGUCUCAAACAUUCUACUUAAAAAGACAUCAGCCUUCAACCAAACAUCCUAUAAAGGCCCCCACUAAACAUGUCUUUUAAGCACAUGAAGUAGCAUAUGCAUACCUUAGUAUUGAAAAUUAGAAUACUGAAUAUCAAGUUACUUUGUAGGGUACCGCUAUAUUUUACAAUCAGUUUCGCCAAUUUGCUUCUAGAAAUAGACACAGCUCAUAAAUGUUUGUAAUUAUAAGAUUUAUGUUGCAUGUCAGUGACUGUGGAUAAAGAAAGCUAUCUGGUGAAGAAUAUACAACAUAUUCCUACAUUGAAUGCUUGAACUUGCCUGGCGUUGCUUUCUCCAGGUUGCUAGGUGAAGGAUUGUGUUGCCAUGCUCAUCCUUCAUAUUCAACACAUCCUCCCUUCUCAUCUCUCUCACCUUCUCCACCAAAACCCUAACUGCUUCAUACUGGCUGUUCUUCACAGCAAGGUGCAAAGCAAUCUCCUUUUGCACAGUCACAUCUUCAAUACACUCUUUACAAGCUGAGAGAAUUACCCGAACAACAUUGACCUUCCCUUUCAUAGCUGCACAGUGAAGUGGAGUCUUUUCAUCUCUUCCUUCUAGAUGACAGUUUCCAAUCAAAUUUCAGUAGCUCCAUCACAACCUCUUGGUGUCCAUUGGCUGCUGCCAUGUGGAUGGGGCUGAAUCCAUCCUGAUUCAAUUCCUUGAUGAAAUCAGGUUUCAACCUUAUCAGCUCCUUCACAAAAUCAACAUGUCCAGAAAUAGAAGAUAUGUGUAAAGGGUUCUCUGCAGAAGCCAGUGCAGUAGUGUGGAGGAUAAGUGGAUUUUCUCUCAGAAGUUGGUGCAGGUCCUCAACAUUUCCAGCUUGGGCAGCAUCCAGCAACCUUCUGUCCAUUCUGCUGGCAAAAUCUAGAUGCAGGUGAAAGGAACAUGAUCUUCUUAAUUAGGUUGUUUAUUACACAAGAAAAGAUAGAAAGAUACCAGGUCUAAUACACCGAAUCUCAUCAAAACUUGGAGAGAACUAUGUUCUUCAAAUACUCAUAUAGGAAUGCACCAAACCUCAUAAAAACCCCACAGGACUAUCUUCUUAGAUUACUUGCAAGGAAAAAAUAGAAAAAAUACUGACACUAAGACACUGAAUCUUAUCAGAAUCCUUAUCAGAACUCCACAAUCAAGCUUGUUCAGACAAAGGGUAUUUGGGCAAAGUCAAGUUUGGGGUAUGUACACAUAGAUACCUUCCAAAAGUCAGCUUUGUUGCAUCACUUUUGAUAUAGACAAAUGAGUAUAAAUUUAUAUUAAAUGAAGUAAAGAAUGGAAGAAGAGAGUUUUGGUGGAAGAAGGAAAGUGAGGUCAACUUGUUUGAUUAUUUUAACUUAUCAGCAAACAGAGUCCUUCACAUACAAAUAAGCAUGAUUCAGGCAUGUAAGUGCAAAUUGAUUAUCAUAAAAAUCUGUUUAGGUGAUAGCCAGGUAUCGUAUUGAGGGUUGAGCUAGAUUAAUCCUUAUUUUGAAUUGCUUUAUUUGGUAUUCCUAGGCUGUCACUUCAUGUUUUAGGUGUUUCAGAAGCUUGUUGUCUAUUUAUUUUUCUGGUGUGAUCCCGUAACCUAUACAGUUCAAAGAUUCAGAUGCAAAAGGAAUUAUUGCAAUGAAUGUUCUUGAAGUUGAUUUUAUUAUUCAAAUUAAAAGUUCUUUUAAUAGUGGGAAUGAAAUAUAACAUAUAUAUAUAUUUUGGUUUUUGAAAACAUAAAAGAAAACAAAAAAUUUACCCAGAAAAUGUGUUUUAUGAUGUGUUCUUUUUAAAAUACUUUUUAUAAAGAUUUCCUGAAAGUGGAUCAUUUUCUAGAACAUGCCAAUUUCUACAAAAAUUGGACAAAUUGUGGGUUGGGCAUGGAUGGAAUUCAUCCUAUUAUAGAUUUGAAAAUCUUGUUUGAUGGCUCAUUCCACUCUUGCAAUCAACAGGAAACUCAAAGUUGUAGAAUAUUGGUUUGUGAUGCAUCUGCCUCUCAAAACCCUACUCCUUGGAGAUUGGUUCAGCAAUGUUUGGCUUUCAAAGCAAUGUCGAGUCUGCAUGAACAAUGAAGUGUAAAGGUUGUGGCCUUUAACAUGCAGAGGAUGCUCUUUUGCA
rnacentral:lncRNA from 1 species